AUUGAACGCUGGCGGCAUGCCUUACACAUGCAAGUCGAACGGCAGCGGACCUUCGGGUGCCGGCGAGUGGCGAACGGGUGAGUAAUAUAUCGGAACGUACCUUUUAGUGGGGGAUAACGUAGCGAAAGUUACGCUAAUACCGCAUAUUCUGUGAGCAGGAAAGCAGGGGAUCGCAAGACCUUGCGCUGAUUGAGCGGCCGAUAUCAGAUUAGCUAGUUGGUGAGGUAAAGGCUCACCAAGGCGACGAUCUGUAGCGGGUCUGAGAGGAUGAUCCGCCACACUGGAACUGAGACACGGUCCAGACUCCUACGGGAGGCAGCAGUGGGGAAUUUUGGACAAUGGGCGCAAGCCUGAUCCAGCCAUGCCGCGUGAGUGAAGAAGGCCU
rnacentral:rRNA from 1 species